UACGGGGGGAGCAAGCGUUGUUCGGAUUUACUGGGCGUAAAGGGCGCGUAGGCGGCCACCGCAAGUCGACUGUGAAAUCUCCGGGCUUAACCCGGAAAGGUCAGCCGAUACUGCGGGGCCAGAGUGCAGAAGGGGCAACUGGGAAUUCUCGGUGUAGCGGUGAAUGCGUAGAUAUCGAGAGGAACACCUGCGGCGAAGGCGGGUUGCUGGGCUGACACUGACGCUGAGGCGCGAAAGCUAGGGGAGCGAACGGG
rnacentral:rRNA from 1 species